AAGAGGAGGAGGAGGAGGAGAAGGAAGGAGAGAGAGAGAGAGGAAGAAGAAAAGAGAGGAGCUCACACUGCUGCUAUUAUUGCUUAUCUCUCUCUCUCUCUCUCCCUUCACCCUCUUUUGCAUAUAUAUUU
rnacentral:miRNA from 1 species